GACGAACGCUGGCGGCGUGCUUAACACAUGCAAGUCGAACGGAAAGGCCCUGCUUUUGUGGGGUGCUCGAGUGGCGAACGGGUGAGUAACACGUGAGUAACCUGCCCUUGACUUUGGGAUAACUUCAGGAAACUGGGGCUAAUACCGGAUAGGAGCUCCUGCUGCAUGGUGGGGGUUGGAAAGUUUCGGCGGUUGGGGCUGGACUCGCGUCUGAUCAGCUUGUUGGUAGGGUAGUAGCAUACCAAGGCGUUGACGCGUAGCUGGCCUGAGAGGGGGACAGACCAGGAUUGGACUGAGACACGGCCUCGACCGCUACGGAAGGGAGCGGUAGAGUAUAUUGUAGGAGGGGGGAAAGCGUGGCAACGCCACGUCGGGGAAGAGAUGCAGCGGUUAGGGUUGCACAGUCGCCUUACACGGGAUGAUAGUGACAGUAACGGGAAAAUAAGCUCCGGCUAACUACGUG
rnacentral:rRNA from 1 species